AUGGCCAAGCUGCACCGGCUCAUCUCGGUCGUGCUCAGGCUCGUCGCGGCCGUCACCGCGGCCGCAGCGGCGAUAAUCAUGGUGACCAGCCGCGAGACCACCAGCUUGUUCGGCCUGGAAAUCGAGGCCAAAUUCUCCCACAUUCCCUCAUUUAUCUUCUUCGUGGUGGCCUACGCCGUGGCAUGCGUCUACAGCCUGCUCGUCAUCCUCGUGCCGCCCGGGGGCGCCGCCUCGAGAUUGGUCGUCAUGACCGAUGUGGUAAUGGGGAUGGUGCUCACCGGCGCCGUGGCGGCCACGGGCGCGAUAGCGGAGGUCGGGAGGAACGGCAACGAGCACGCCGGGUGGCUGGCGAUCUGCGAGCAGGUGCACGGCUACUGCAACCAGGUCAUGGGGGCCCUCAUCGCCGGCUUCGUCGCGCUCGUCGUCUACUUCCUCAUCAUCAUGCACUCCCUCCACGCGGUCACCGAUACCAUGUGCCCGUGCCAUUAG
rnacentral:rRNA from 1 species